UAAGGAAUAUUGCUCAAUGGGAGAAAUCCUGAAGCAGCAACGCCGCGUGGAGGAUGAAGGGUCUAUGACUUGUAAACUCCUGUAAAGAAGGAAAAAAUUCCCAUUUGAUGGGAGAUGAUGGUACUUCUGGAGUAAGCCCCGGCUAACUACGUGCCAGCAGCCGCGGUAAUACGUAGGGGGCAAGCGUUGUCCGGAUUUACUGGGUUUAAAGGGUGCUCAGGCGGAUUUGUAAGUCAGAGGUGAAAUCUUACAGCUUAACUGUGAAACUGCCUUUGAUACUGCAAGCCUAGAGUAUGGAAGAGAGUGAUGGAAUAUCUGGUGUAGCAGUGAAAUGCGUAGAUAUCAGAUAGAACACCAAUGGCGAAGGCAGUCACUUGGUCCAUUACUGACGCUAAAGCACGAAAGCGUGGGUAGCAAACA
rnacentral:rRNA from 1 species